GAGAGAGUCCGUUUCCUCUCGUGGUAGGUAGCCCCGUCCGGCGGCGCCGAUGCUAAUACCUUCAAUAGCCCCUUGUUGGCUUCACAUCCAAUUCGAGAUAGAAGCGCGGGAUCCCCUCGCCGCGCGCCCUAUUCUGUGUGGACAGAUCCAUUGAGAGGCGCCCUUGAUUCCUGGCUGUUGUAUCAUGGGGUUGCUAGCUCUGAAGAUGCUCAUGUCUAGGCGGCGGGAUAGCAAGCAUCUUUGCGGCCAGAUUCAAGCCCGUAAUAGAUUGGUUACUUCAGUGGUUAAAAGAAAGAUCUCUUCAUGCCAACACAAUAACAAUCAAGGUUGCAAGAGAGUGGCAUUUUCAGGGGCAGACCUUCCAGAGGUACGGCAUACUACAAUGCUGAUAAUACUAGUAAUUAGAGUAAAACACGACUAUGACUAUUCUAGCCUCAAAGUGCACAAAUUGAUAUGGACUGAUCUUGUAGUGCUGCAAUCUCCUGCAGUACGUACUACAACAUUAGUUGCUUUGCUCAUUUCUAACUAUUCCAGCUCAGAACAAAACUCUCUGUCAAGAGAUGAGGGUGAGUUGCUUUGCUAUUUUUGUUCGAUACAUUUUAGCAAGGUAAGAAAGAGAGGUGAGACACAUGGAUAGACCACCACUAAUCCUCACCCUCAAUUGAACAAGUUUUAGAACAAAUUAUUGGUUAAUAGGCUUCAGAGCAGCGGCGAGUCUAGUAGGGGGCCUCAACAGGCUUGAGCCUACCCUCCAGCAAAACAAAAGCUCACCAGUCCAUCUAGAGCCCGUUCGCUGUAGCAAAACAUACGAGCAAUAUCUCUCUGUUCGUAACUUUGCACCCAGCCAGCCGUGAUGCGUCCAACAGAAGUGCAGAAUAAUAGUCGCAACCUCGCAGGACUGCAGCCCUCAACAGAGGAGUGCACCGACAGUAUGGUAGAGGAGCGCGCCGGCAGUAGGGUAGUGGAACGCGGCGGCAGUACCGCAGUAGGGAAUUGGAGCGUGCUGGCCGGCCCACAAAGGAGGGAGAAGGCCACAACCUGGGCAGCUCCACAGCUGGGCGCAUCCCCGCUUUGGCCACUGGAGGGCCAACCCUCAAGAUGUUGGUCUAAUUCUUGAUUUAUUUCGUUAAAUUAGUAACACUAAUGGCUAGCUCAUGAAAUGUUAAAUAGUUUACUGUUGAAUACAGCUUGUUUGCCUAUUUACAAAAAUAAAGAUACUAUGAGUAUUCUAUGAGAAAGAGAUAUCCACAAGCAUAAUUUUCAGUAAUAAUUCUAGUGUUGGGCACUUGGGUAUACUUUUCUUUAUUUUGGUUUGGAGCCGUUCAACAGUAUGGCAGUAUGAAGCAACACUGAUAUCAUUGUUUUUGCCUUCUUUUGCUGUUUUAUUGUUGCUUCUCUCAUACUAAUGUAUUGGUAUGUGAAUUCCUAGUACAUGACACUAUUUUCUAUGAUGAUGCUAAUUUAGUUUAGUCAUCGUUAAUUUUGAGCCCACCCUCCAUUUCCUUUCUGGAUUCGCCACUGCUUCAGAGUAGGAUUCUACAAGUGGUUCAUAGAAAUCAAUACGACCUUUUGAAAUCUCACACAAUACAAGAUUGUCUGGCUUGGGCAUUCGAGUACAUUCCCUUAUUUGGGCUUACCACUUGGUACAACACGUCCUAUAAUUCAAGAUUUUGUGACCCUUGGUGGACUGUGUGGAAAGAAGAUUAAACGUCUGCUCCCGCUUUUUGACAUCUGGUGGCUCUCUAAUUAUGUUAAUUCAGUUAUGUCAGCGCUCCCUACAUUUUACAUAGGCUCUCUUAAGAUUUAGAAAAGGACGAUCCAGUCAAUGGACAGAGCAAGACGCCACUGUCUUUGCGCCAAAGGGAGGAUGGCAUUGAUCAAAAACCCAAAUCCUUGGCUAUAUGGGAUAUAGUUUGCAUGCCAGCAGCUUUUUAAGUUUUACAAUUGUGCUAACAUUUCUUGGCCGCAGCUGGUUAGGCAUGCAUAUUAUCAGAAUUUUGUUCCCCACGGCUCAUUUUGGUGGCGGGACAUUUGUUCUUUUGCUUGGCACUUUCGGGCUAUUACCGCACUUGAUCCAAGAACUGGCAUGACUAUACUUCCGUGUGAAGAUAAGUGGCAUUCUGGAGCUUCACCUCCCGAGAUUUUUAUAAUUUUCUGUUGAGCACAAUAUAUUCCUUGCCCAGGCUGUUCAAACAAAAGAUAUAACAACUUUGUUCAUUCUGCCCCUGUCUGAGCAAGAGUUUGAGGAGCUUUAGGUUGUCUCUGCCCAUUCAGAUGACUGUUCAGGAUGGUCUGUCAGAUUCUUGGACGUGCUGUUUAGAACUUCAAAUGCUGGGCGUUUUACUCCAUCUAGCUACAAAUUCCUAUUUGCUGGUUUGGAGGUUGACCCAAUCUUCUCUAAAUUAUGGAAAAGCAAAUGUAUGACCAAGCUGAAGGUGUUUGCUUGGUUAUUUUUAAUGGAUCGGCUCAAUAGUAGGGGUCUAAUGCUUCGGAAACAUUAGCAUUUGGAGCCUGGUCCCAAUUGUGUGCGCUGCUCUGAGGGAAUUAUUGAAACAAGGAACCAUAUCUUCUUUGAGUGUUCUUUUGUAGCUAGGUGCUGGAAUUUUGCAGAAGUCACUUGGCUCCCAGGACAUCUGGCGCCAUAUACAUUCCCUACUGCCGCUGCGAGAUGCUGCCCGUGUUGCCUGCGUAUCUCAUGCAUUUUUACGUUCCUGGAAAUGCCAUCCCAACCUCUCCUUCACUAGGAAAGCACUGGGCCUGAAUAGAAUUCCACGUCAAAGUGAUGUAAUUGCAAGGGAUCUCACUAUGAAAGUCGACCACAUUCUCAAAAAACACUCAGGCAAAGGAGUUAAGAAAUUCAGGAUCGAAUUACACAUGCCAGUUGAUCCCUGCUAUCUUAAUAGCUGGCUUCAGAUUGCUGCUGAACUACGGGUUGAGGAACUCGCCGUUGUUCUACCUUCAACCUGCAAUGCAAAUGACUACGAUUUCCCUUGUGCACUUUUUGUUGAUGAUGGGUGUAGAAACGCAAUAGAGCAUCUCUGCCUUGGCGGUUGUGCCUUCCAUCCCACAGCUGGAUUUGGUUACUUGAGAAAGCUGCGGCUGUUUUGGGUGCAUAUUACGGUGGAUGAAUUAGAAUGCCUUAUUUCCAAUUCUCCAGCUUUGGAGCACUUGGCACUCAAGUAUUGCUAUACGAUCACUUACCUGAAGAUACCUAGCCUGCUACAGCAUCUCAGCUACCUGAUGGUGGCUGCAUGCGCUAAUCUGCAGACAAUAGAGUGUAAAGCUCCAAAUCUCUCCACUUUUUACUUCAGUGGUUGACAAGUUGAACUUCUGUUUGGAUGUUCAGUUCAAGUGAAGACCAUGGAAAUGCGUUGUUCUACUCAGUGUAACACCAUUUAUAAAUUAUAAUGCUUGUGCCAACCUGCCAUCCAUUGUGCCAAAUAUUGAAACUCUCAGCAUAUCUUCUGUUAGUGAGGUGGUCAAUACACCAAUCGUGCCUGUAAAAUUCCUCCACCUCAAGUAUCUGUCUAUUUCUCUUGAAGGAAAUGGGGCUUUUUCCCCAGACUAUGAUUACUUUUCUCUGGUUUCUUUGCUGGAUGCUUGUCCUGUCUUGGAAACUUUCAACUUGUUUGUGUCACAGGAUCGCAUGAAACACGAUUCGGUUCUUGGAGACCCGUCGUCACGUCUUAGGCAGAUGCCUGAAUACCGCCACGACAACAUUAAGAAUGUGAAGAUUAUUGGGUUUUGCUCUGCGAAGAGCAUGGUCGAGCUGGCAUGCCAUAUUCUCGAGAAUGCAACAUCACUCGAGUGCCUUACUUUGGACACGAUACGUGCUGUUUUUAGUAUUGACAGACACAUUCACAAAACCGGUGAAUGUGGCCACAUAGGCAGGCAUAUGAUCAGAGAAGCACGUAAGGCGCUCUUGGCUGUCAAAAGAUAUAUUGUGGGAAUAGUUCCCUCCACAGUCAAGUUAAAUGUCCUGGAGCCUUGCAAGCUAUGCCAUGCUUUGGCUGUUUAGCUGUGGUAAUAUCAUAAUUUUGUAAAUUACAUUGUGGACCGAACACUGUUGCAUGAGUUGCGACUUGCAGAAACACCCAUGUAGAAGCAUAGGGGCAAGCAAUUAUGGUAUUUUGAUAUAUGAGAGAAGAUAUCAGAAACUAUUAUUAUUAUAGUUGUUGAUAUAUUUUCUUAUAAAACUUGGUCAAAACUUACAGCAUUUGACUCGAGACAAAAGUUAUAGGCCUUCUCUGGGGAGACAAGGGAGUAUCAUGUAACUGAGAUGUGCUAUGCAGUUAUCCCAACAAUCUUGUUUA